rnacentral:rRNA from 1 species
UGGGGAAUAUUGGACAAUGGGGGGAACCCUGAUCCAGCCAUGCCGCGUGUGUGAAGAAGGCCUUCUGGUUGUAAAGCACUUUAAGCGAGGAGGAGGGUACUGGUAUUAAUACUACCAGGUACUGGACGUUACUCGCAGAAUAAGCACCGUCUAACUCUGUGCCAGCAGCCGCGGUAAUCCAUAGGGUGCGAGCGUUAAUCGGAUUUACUGGGCGUAAAGCGUGCGUAGGCGGCUAAUUAAGUCGGAUGUGAAAUCCCCGAGCUUAACUUGGGAAUUGCAUUCGAUACUGGUGAGCUAGAGUGUGGGAGAGGAUGGUAGAAUUCCAGGUGUAGCGGUGAAAUGCGUAGAGAUCGGGAGGAAUACCGAUGGCGAAGGCAACCAUCUGGCCUAAUACUGACGCUGAGGUACGAAAGCAUGGGGAGCAAACAGG